GCCCCCUUGGCGAAAUUGGUAGACGCGCUGGACUCAAAAUCCGGUUCUCGUAAGGGAGUGUCAGUUCAAAUCUGACAGGGGGUAC
rnacentral:tRNA from 1 species